rnacentral:rRNA from 1 species
ACGGGUUAGUAACGCGUGGGAAUAUACCCUUCACUACGGAAUAGCCUCGGGAAACUGGGAGUAAUACCGUAUACGCCCUUUGGGGGAAAGAUUUAUCGGUGAAGGAUUAGCCCGCGUCUGAUUAGAUAGUUGGUGGGGUAAUGGCCUACCAAGUCUACGAUCAGUAGCUGGUUUGAGAGGCUGAUCAGCCACACUGGGACUGAG